rnacentral:rRNA from 1 species
UACGAAGGGGGCUAGCGUUGCUCGGAAUUACUGGGCGUAAAGCGCACGUAGGCGGUUUCUUAAGUCGGAGGUGAAAUCCUGGAGCUCAACUCCAGAACUGCCUUCGAUACUGGGAGACUUGAGUCCGGGAGAGGUGAGUGGAACUGCGAGUGUAGAGGUGAAAUUCGUAGAUAUUCGCAAGAACACCAGUGGCGAAGGCGGCUCACUGGCCCGGUACUGACGCUGAGGUGCGAAAGCGUGGGGAGCAAACAGG